GAAGCGAAGCAGCGAUGUGAAGCAAAUCGCACCAAAGCCGGUCCCAGUUCGGAUAAGAGGCUGAAACUCGCCUCUUUGAAGUCGGAAUCGCUAGUAAUCGCAGAUCAGCAUGUUGCGGUGAAUACGUUUCCUGGUCUUGUACACACCGCCCGUCAAACCAUGAGAGUCGCCAACACCCGAAGUCCGCUUUGCGGCCUAAGGUGGGGGAGAUGAUUGGGGUUAAGUCGUAACAAGGUAUC
rnacentral:rRNA from 1 species